rnacentral:tRNA from 3 species
CGGGGAGUGGCUCAGCUUGGUAGAGCGCGUCGUUUGGGACGAUGAGGUCGCAGGUUCGAAUCCUGUCUCCCCGACCA